rnacentral:rRNA from 1 species
AGUCGAACGGCAGCGCGGGGCAACCUGGCGGCGAGUGGCGAACGGGUGAGUAAUAUAUCGGAACGUACCCAAGAGUGGGGGAUAACGUAGCGAAAGUUACGCUAAUACCGCAUACGAUCUAAGGAUGAAAGUGGGGGAUCGCAAGACCUCAUGCUCCUGGAGCGGCCGAUAUCUGAUUAGCUAGUUGGUGAGGUAAAGGCUCACCAAGGCGACGAUCAGUAGCUGGUCUGAGAGGACGACCAGCCACACUGGGACUGAAACACGGCCCAGACUCCUACGGGAGGCAGCAGUGGGGAAUUUUGGACAAUGGGCGCAAGCCUGAUCCAGCAAUGCCGCGUGAGUGAAGAAGGCCUUCGGGUUGUAAAGCUCUUUUGUCAGGGAAGAAACGGCUGAGGAUAAUACCUUUGGCUAAUGACGGUACCUGAAGAAUAAGCACCGGCUAACUACGUGCCAGCAGCCGCGGUAAUACGUAGGGUGCAAGCGUUAAUCGGAAUUACUGGGCGUAAAGCGUGCGCAGGCGGUUUUGUAAGUCUGUCGUGAAAGCCCCGGGCUCAACCUGGGAAUUGCGAUGGAGACUGCAAGGCUUGAAUCUGGCAGAGGGGGGUAGAAUUCCACGUGUAGCAGUGAAAUGCGUAGAGAUGUGGAGGAACACCGAUGGCGAGGGCAGCCCCCUGGGUCAAGAUUGACGCUCAUGCACGAAAGCGUGGGGAGCAAACAGGAUUAGAUACCCUGGUAGUCCACGCCCUAAACGAUGUCUACUAGUUGUCGGGUUUUAAUUAACUUGGUAACGCAGCUAACGCGUGAAGUAGACCGCCUGGGGAGUACGGUCGCAAGAUUAAAACUCAAAGGAAUUGAC